AAUUCUCAACCCAUACUUCUUUUUGAAGGAUGGGCUUGGAUUUGGAGGUCUUUGCCGGCUCGCCUUUCGAGGUGGACCGGCUCCUCUUGAAUGCAUUAGCGAGGCCUUUUGCAACGUUGCCUUUGGUGUGAUAAUUGUCUACGCCGUUGGUGACGAUGCGAAACUUGAAGGACUCGCUUCUAACCGUCUCGUCAGAGACUCUAUCGAA
rnacentral:misc_RNA from 1 species